rnacentral:rRNA from 1 species
CAGGACGAACGCUGGCGGCGUGCCUAAUACAUGCAAGUCGAGCGGACAGAUGGGAGCUUGCUCCCUGAUGUUAGCGGCGGACGGGUGAGUAACACGUGGGUAACCUGCCUGUAAGACUGGGAUAACUCCGGGAAACCGGGGCUAAUACCGGAUGGUUGUUUGAACCGCAUGGUUCAGACAUAAAAGGUGGCUUCGGCUACCACUUACAGAUGGACCCGCGGCGCAUUAGCUAGUUGGUGAGGUAACGGCUCACCAAGGCAACGAUGCGUAGCCGACCUGAGAGGGUGAUCGGCCACACUGGGACUGAGACACGGCCCAGACUCCUACGGGAGGCAGCAGUAGGGAAUCUUCCGCAAUGGACGAAAGUCUGACGGAGCAACGCCGCGUGAGUGAUGAAGGUUUUCGGAUCGUAAAGCUCUGUUGUUAGGGAAGAACAAGUGCCGUUCAAAUAGGGCGGCACCUUGACGGUACCUAACCAGAAAGCCACGGCUAACUACGUGCCAGCAGCCGCGGUAAUACGUAGGUGGCAAGCGUUGUCCGGAAUUAUUGGGCGUAAAGGGCUCGCAGGCGGUUUCUUAAGUCUGAUGUGAAAGCCCCCGGCUCAACCGGGGAGGGUCAUUGGAAACUGGGGAACUUGAGUGCAGAAGAGGAGAGUGGAAUUCCACGUGUAGCGGUGAAAUGCGUAGAGAUGUGGAGGAACACCAGUGGCGAAGGCGACUCUCUGGUCUGUAACUGACGCUGAGGAGCGAAAGCGUGGGGAGCGAACAGGAUUAGAUACCCUGGUAGUCCACGCCGUAAACGAUGAGUGCUAAGUGUUAGGGGGUUUCCGCCCCUUAGUGCUGCAGCUAACGCAUUAAGCACUCCGCCUGGGGAGUACGGUCGCAAGACUGAAACUCAAAGGAAUUGACGGGGGCCCGCACAAGCGGUGGAGCAUGUGGUUUAAUUCGAAGCAACGCGAAGAACCUUACCAGGUCUUGACAUCCUCUGACAAUCCUAGAGAUAGGACGUCCCCUUCGGGGGCAGAGUGACAGGUGGUGCAUGGUUGUCGUCAGCUCGUGUCGUGAGAUGUUGGGUUAAGUCCCGCAACGAGCGCAACCCUUGAUCUUAGUUGCCAGCAUUCAGUUGGGCACUCUAAGGUGACUGCCGGUGACAAACCGGAGGAAGGUGGGGAUGACGUCAAAUCAUCAUGCCCCUUAUGACCUGGGCUACACACGUGCUACAAUGGACAGAACAAAGGGCAGCGAAACCGCGAGGUUAAGCCAAUCCCACAAAUCUGUUCUCAGUUCGGAUCGCAGUCUGCAACUCGACUGCGUGAAGCUGGAAUCGCUAGUAAUCGCGGAUCAGCAUGCCCGGUGGAAUACCGUUCCCGGGGCCUUGUACACACCGCCCGUCACACCACGAGAGUUUGUAACACCCGAAGUCGGUGAGGUAACCUUUUAGGAGCCAGCCGCCGAAGGUGGGACAGAUGAUUGGGGU